ensembl:snoRNA
CUGUACACUUAAAACAGAUGGCUUCAUAGUUCCCUUGGCUUUGAUCUGUGCUGGGGCGAUGUGUAUUUCCUUCUCUCUGCAUUGAAAAAACUAUGUAGCCUUUUAAAUGCAUUAGAAAGUCAGCAUAUAA